rnacentral:rRNA from 1 species
UACGUAGGGGGCUAGCGUUGUCCGGAAUCAUUGGGCGUAAAGAGCGUGUAGGCGGUCCGGUAAGUCCGCUGUGAAAGUCGGGGGCUCAACCCUCGAAUGCCGGUGGAUACUGUCGGGCUAGAGUGCGGAAGAGGCGAGUGGAAUUCCUGGUGUAGCGGUGAAAUGCGCAGAUAUCGGGAGGAACACCUAUGGCGAAGGCAGCUCGCUGGGACGUUACUGACGCUGAGACGCGAAAGCGUGGGGAGCAAACAGG